UACGAAGGGGGCUAGCGUUGCUCGGAAUCACUGGGCGUAAAGCGCACGUAGGCGGAUUGCUAAGUCAGGGGUGAAAUCCUGGAGCUCAACUCCAGAACUGCCUUUGAUACUGGCGAUCUUGAGUCCGGGAGAGGCGAGUGGAAUUCCGAGUGUAGAGGUGAAAUUCGUAGAUAUCGGGAGGAACACCUAUGGCGAAGGCAGCUCGCUGGGACGGUACUGACGCUGAGACGCGAAAGCGUGGGGAGCAAACAGG
rnacentral:rRNA from 1 species